rnacentral:rRNA from 1 species
CCUACGGGUGGCUGCAGUAAGGAAUAUUGGACAAUGGUGGAAACACUGAUCCAGCCAUGCCGCGUGAAGGAUGACGGCCCUAUGGGUUGUAAACUUCUUUUGUACGGGAAAAAACCUCUUUACGUGUAAAGAGCUGAUUGUACUGUAAGAAUAAGGAUCGGCUAACUCCGUGCCAGCAGCCGCGGUAAUACGGAGGAUCCAAGCGUUAUCCGGAUUCAUUGGGUUUAAGGGGGAAGGAUAAGGAAGGAGUGAAAGCCUGCAGCUUAACUGCAGAACUGCCAUUGAUACUGUCAAUCUUGAGUACAUUUGAUGUGGGCGGAAUGUGUCAUGUAGCGGUGAAAUGCUUAGAUAUGACACAGAACACCGAUUGCGAAGGCAGCUCACAAAACUGUAACUGACGCUGAGGCACGAAAGCGUGGGUAUCAAACAGGAUUAGAUACCCUUGUAGUC